UACCCUACGGGACGCAGCAGUAGGGAAUUUUCGUCAAUGGGCGCAAGCCUGAACGAGCAAUGCCGCGUGAACGAGGAAGGUCUUCGGAUCGUAAAGUUCUGUUGAAGGGGAAAAAGAGCGGAGAGAGGAAAUGAACUCCGAUUGAUAUUACCCUUCGAGGAAGUCACGGCUAACUACGUGCCAGCAGCCGCGGUAAUACGUAGGUGGCGAGCGUUAUCCGGAUUUAUUGGGUUUAAAGGGUGCGUAGGCGGGCUCUUAAGUCUGAUGUGAAAGCCUUCGGCUUAACCGGAGUAGUGCAUUGGAAA
rnacentral:rRNA from 1 species